UAGGAUUGACUUCCUAUAACACUCUUAAAUAACUCAAGAUCAUUUAUCAAUUUAUUACGCCUAAAAUUGCAUUGUUUUGUCUUGAUAAAGUUUAUUAUUGAAAAAUUAGAGUAAAAUUUUAGAAAUAAAUAAAUUUUUGAAUGCACAAUAUAAUUUUUUGUCUCAACUAUUUUUGCUAUAGAUUUGCCACAGUUUUGGAGACUUGAUAACUUAAAUUAAGUGUCAGAUUUGGGUGAGAGAAGAGAAGCAAGACAAAAAACAACAAAUCUCAAUUGUAUUUGCAGAUUAGUUGGCAUCUUGCUCUUUGUUAGAUUCUAAUGAGAAAUUAGCUAUUUUUGGGUCUUGAUUCUCAUUCCUUUUUAUGGAUGUGAGGAUGUGAGAGAGACGAUUGGGGUGGUGGUGCUAGGCAGGGUACGGAGGGGAAGCAGAGUGCAUGUGCCAGAACAAAAGAAAAAUGAAUUUUAGGUUUGCAGAAUUGGUUUGCAUUGUUU
rnacentral:misc_RNA from 1 species